GUCACGUGUUAGAAACCUCAUCAACACGUCCACUCGCUCUCUGGGAAGCUUCCACACAUUGUCCUGGGGGGUCGGCAGGAAACGUUCUGGAAACAUGUCUGGAGUUCAGUGCAGGUUCAUGAAAACAGCUUCAGGGAAAAGGACAAACCCCAACAACAGUUUAGUGAAUCUUCUUCUUCUUUCCUCUCCCACGAAUCUUCUGACGACCCUUCAGAUUUAUCUGUCUUCCAUUUUGUGUCCCUAUGUUGGGACUAAAAUAGCUGUUCACAAAGUAGUGAAAACUAGUUUUGUGAUUGACGUGAGUUCUUUAUCUUCCACUUCUAGUUUUAUUUCGAUAGUCACACAUGAAUAUUGUAGCUCAGGUGCAAAUACUGUAUGUGAAUAUAUAUUGACCGUGUGUGCAGGUGAUAGAGGAGGUGAGUGUUGGAGGUGAAGAGGAGAUUCAUCGAUCAUCAUCUCUGAUCCGAUCAGAGCAGCUGCUGUCCUGCAGGUCCAGUUCAGUCCAGACCGACUCUGAGGAGGAGAAACCUUCAGCUCGCUGCAGCCUCCACAAACACAAAGGCAACCUGAACGUGCUGAUGAACUGUCAAUGGCAGAGUUUACUGUGUCGGGUGGAGGACGGCGUCCUUAACAUGUUUGGAGAGGAGGAG